rnacentral:rRNA from 1 species
CCUACGGGUGGCAGCAGUGAGGAAUAUUGGUCAAUGGCCGGAAGGCUGAACCAGCCAAGCCGCGUGAGGGAGGAAGGCGCAGAGCGUCGCAGACUUCUUUUGUCGGGGGACAAAAGGCCGGACUCGUCCGGUCCUGAGGGUACCCGGAGAAAAAGCAUCGGCUAACUCCGUGCCAGCAGCCGCGGUAAUACGGAGGAUGCGAGCGUUAUCCGGAUUCAUUGGGUUUAAAGGGUGCGCAGGCGGGCCUUUAAGCUGGCGGUGAAAUCGCGGGGCUCAACCCCGCCGAGCCCGCGGAACUGGGGGCCUUGAGUGUGGCGGAGGCAGGCGGAAUGCGCGGUGUAGCGGUGAAAUGCAUAGAUAUCACGCAGAACACCGAUUGCGAAGGCAGCCUUCCGGCGCACUACUGACGCUGAGGCACGAAAGUGCGGGGAUCGAACAGGAUUAGAUACCCGAGUAGUC